GACGGGGUUUCACCAGGUGGCCAGGAUGGUCUCAAUCUCUUGACCUCGUGAUCCGCCUGCCUUGGCCUCCCAAGGUGUUGAGAUUACAGUCGUGAGCCACCAUGCCUGGCCGACGUUUAAUAGUUGUUUGGUUGUGAUCACCAGAAGAAGAAGAAGAGAACAGAAAGAGGAGAGAAGAGAUUUUAAAAGGUAACUUGAAAUGUCUUAUGAUUAUUGGAUAGAAAAGCUUUGGAUUUGGAGGUACUAUGAUUC
rnacentral:lncRNA from 1 species